GACGAACGCUGGCGGCACGCCUAACACAUGCCAGUCGAACGGACUUAUAAGAGCUUGCUUUUUUAAGUUAGUGGCGGACGGGUGAGUAACACGUGAGCAACCUGCCUCUGAGAGGGGGAUAGCUUCUGGAAACGGAUGGUAAUACCCCAUAAAAUAUAAAUAUCGCAUGAUAGAUAUAUCAAAGAAAUUCGCUCAGAGAUGGGCUCGCGUCUGAUUAGAUAGUUGGUGAGGUAACGGCUCACCAAGUCGACGAUCAGUAGCUGGACUGAGAGGUUGAACGGCCACAUUGGGACUGAGACACGGCCCAGACUCCUACGGGAGGCAGCAGUGGGGAAUAUUGCACAAUGGAGGGAACUCUGAUGCAGCGAUGCCGCGUGGAUGAAGAAGGUUUUCGGAUUGUAAACUCCUUUUAUCCGGGACGAUAAUGACAGUACCUGAAGAAAAAGCUCCGGCUAACUACGUG
rnacentral:rRNA from 1 species